GUCGAACGAACUCUGGUAUUGAUUGGUGCUUGCAUCAUGAUUUACAUUUGAGUGAGUGGCGAACUGGUGAGUAACACGUGGGAAACCUGCCCAGAAGCGGGGGAUAACACCUGGAAACAGAUGCUAAUACCGCAUAACAACUUGGACCGCAUGGUCCGAGUUUGAAAGAUGGCUUCGGCUAUCACUUUUGGAUGGUCCCGCGGCGUAUUAGCUAGAUGGUGAGGUAACGGCUCACCAUGGCAAUGAUACGUAGCCGACCUGAGAGGGUAAUCGGCCACAUUGGGACUGAGACACGGCCCAAACUCCUACGGGAGGCAGCAGUAGGGAAUCUUCCACAAUGGACGAAAGUCUGAUGGAGCAACGCCGCGUGAGUGAAGAAGGGUUUCGGCUCGUAAAACUCUGUUGUUAAAGAAGAACAUAUCUGAGAGUAACUGUUCAGGUAUUGACGGUAUUUAACCAGAAAGCCACGGCUAACUACGUGCCAGCAGCCGCGGUAAUACGUAGGUGGCAAGCGUUGUCCGGAUUUAUUGGGCGUAAAGCGAGCGCAGGCGGUUUUUUAAGUCUGAUGUGAAAGCCUUCGGCUCAACCGAAGAAGUGCAUCGGAAACUGGGAAACUUGAGUGCAGAAGAGGACAGUGGAACUCCAUGUGUAGCGGUGAAAUGCGUAGAUAUAUGGAAGAACACCAGUGGCGAAGGCGGCUGUCUGGUCUGUAACUGACGCUGAGGCUCGAAAGUAUGGGUAGCAAACAGGAUUAGAUACCCUGGUAGUCCAUACCGUAAACGAUGAAUGCUAAGUGUUGGAGGGUUUCCGCCCUUCAGUGCUGCAGCUAACGCAUUAAGCAUUCCGCCUGGGGAGUACGGCCGCAAGGCUGAAACUCAAAGGAAUUGACGGGGGCCCGCACAAGCGGUGGAGCAUGUGGUUUAAUUCGAAGCUACGCGAAGAACCUUACCAGGUCUUGACAUACUAUGCAAAUCUAAGAGAUUAGACGUUCCCUUAGGGGACAUGGAUACAGGUGGUGCAUGGUUGUCGUCAGCUCGUGUCGUGAGAUGUUGGGUUAAGUCCCGCAACGAGCGCAACCCUUAUUAUCAGUUGCCAGCAUUAAGUUGGGCACUCUGGUGAGACUGCCGGUGACAAACCGGAGGAAGGUGGGGAUGACGUCAAAUCAUCAUGCCCCUUAUGACCUGGGCUACACACGUGCUACAAUGGAUGGUACAACGAGUUGCGAACUCGCGAGAGUAAGCUAAUCUCUUAAAGCCAUUCUCAGUUCGGAUUGUAGGCUGCAACUCGCCUACAUGAAGUCGGAAUCGCUAGUAAUCGCGGAUCAGCAUGCCGCGGUGAAUACGUUCCCGGGCCUUGUACACACCGCCCGUCACACCAUGAGAGUUUGUAACACCCAAAGUCGGUGGGGUAA
rnacentral:rRNA from 2 species